GGAGGCGUGGCAGAACGGUAAUGCAGCGGCUUGCUAAGCCGUGGCCGCUGUCCAGCGGUUGUGGGUUCAACUCCCGCCGCCUCCGCCA
rnacentral:tRNA from 2 species